AAGUCAUAUGCUUGUCUUAAAGAUUAAGCCAUGCAUGUCUAAGUAUAAAUAGUAUACAGUGAAACUGCGAAUGGCUCAUUAAAACAGUUAUAGUUUAUUUGAUAGUGCAAAUUACAUGGAUAACCGUGGUAAUUCUAGAGCUAAUACAUGCGCAAAUACCGGACGCAAGAAUGGUAGCAUUUAUUAGAUUUAACCAUCACAUGGUGAAUCAUAGUAACUUAGCUGACCGCGUGUAUACGUGGUAAAUCAUUCAAGUUUCUGCCCUAUCAGCUUUCGAUGGUAGUGUAUUGGACUACCAUGGCAGUCACGGGUAACGGAGAAUUAGGGUUCGAUUCCGGAGAGGGAGCCUGAGAAACGGCUACCACAUCUAAGGAAGGCAGCAGGCGCGUAAAUUACCCAAUCCCGAUUCGGGGAGGUAGUGACAAGAAAUAGCAACUCGUGCGGGUUUCCGUUACGGGAUUGCAAUGAGAUAAGUCCAAAUCCGUAAACGAUUAACAAUUGGAGGGCAAGUCUGGUGCCAGCAGCCGCGGUAAUUCCAGCUCCAAUAGCGUAUACUUAAGUUGUUGCAGUUAAAAAGCUCGUAGUUGAAAUUCGAGUCAGUUACUAGUUGGCUUUUCGUCAGUUAGUUAAUUGAUUCUCCGUCUACAAUCCCUUUUGCGCUUUAGGGUUGCAGCUGGGCGAGUAGACAAUUUACCUUGAAAAAAUUAGAGUGUUCCAGGCAGGUCUUCGCCGGAAUACAUUAGCAUGGAAUAAUGGAAUAGGACUUGGGUCUUUUGUUGGUUUUAGGACUUGAGUAAUGAUUAAUAGGGACAGAUGGGGGCAUUAGUAUUUAAUUGUCAGAGGUGAAAUUCUUGGAUUUAUUAAAGACUAACUUAUGCGAAAGCAUUUGCCAAGGAUGUUUUCAUUAAUCAAGAACGAAAGUUAGGGGAUCAAAGACGAUCAGAUACCGUCGUAGUCUUAACUAUAAACUAUACCGACUCGAGAUCGGAAGGGUAAUAUAUUAGUCCCUUUCGGCAUCGUAAGAGAAAUCAAAGUCUUUGGGUUCUGGGGGGAGUAUGGUCGCAAGGCUGAAACUUAAAGGAAUUGACGGAAGGGCACCACCAGGAGUGGAGCCUGCGGCUUAAUUUGACUCAACACGGGGAAACUUACCAGGUCAAAACAUGGAUGGGAUUGACAGAUUGAAAGCUCUUUCUUGAUUCUAUGGGUGGUGGUGCAUGGCCGUUCUUAGUUGGUGGAGUGAUUUGUCUGGUUAAUUCCGAUAACGAACGAGACCUUAACCUGCUAACUAGUUUGCUUCUGAAUAAGAGGUAUAACUUCUUAGAGGGACUAUGUAUGUAAGUGCAUGGAAGUUUAAGGCAAUAACAGGUCUGUGAUGCCCCUAGACGUCCUGGGCCGCACGCGCGCUACACUGACACGUUCAGCGAGCUCAUUUACCUGUCCCGAAAGGGCACGGGAAAUCUUGUUAGGACGUGUCGUGCUGGGGAUAGAUCUUUGCAAUUAUAGAUCUUGAACGAGGAAUUCCUUGUAAGCACAGGUCAUCAGCCUGUGCUGAAUACGUCCCUGCCCUUUGUACACACCGCCCGUCGCUCCUACCGAUUUCGAGUGAUGUGGUGAACUAUCUGGACUGCGGAUGGGCUCGAACCAUUUGCGGGAAGUUUCGUAAACCUUAUCACUUAGAGGAAGGAGAAGUCGUAACAAGGUUUCCGUAGGU
rnacentral:rRNA from 1 species